AUCACGAGAUCAGUUUCCAGUCUUCGUCCGGGUCACCACAGCUCUGUAAAAUAGGGCUGUGCCAACUUUGACAGUCUGUUUGACAAUCAGUUACGAAUCUCAAAGGAUUCAAGACAACAAGAGAAGCAAAACAAGGAUAUGCAUUCAUUUGGCGUGGUUGUGCUACACUAUUUAGCAUGUUCUCCAAUGUGAAGCUGUAUUCUGGCAACCCGAAGGGGGACGGCAUUUUGUGUUUACAAGACAGACCAGCCAUGACGAAUGGUCCAGAUAUGUGAGCAAUGACCAGAAGACAGAGCUGAGGGUGACAGAUAAAUGGGAGUUGAUGUUGAUGUCAUAGAAACAGAUGUAUGUUGUAAAUUUGUUAAUUGCAAUUAAAACUAUGACAUAAUCUUGUCAAAAAUAGUUUUGCGACUUACAUUAUAUUUUUAUUAUACUUAAAUUAUAUUUUCUUGUUCAUGGUCACGUAGCCCAU